rnacentral:rRNA from 1 species
CUGGCUCAGGAUGAACGCUAGCGACAGGCUUAACACAUGCAAGUCGAGGGGCAGCGGGGGUGAAAGCUUGCUUUCGCCUGCCGGCGACCGGCGCACGGGUGAGUAACACGUAUGCAACCUGCCCACCGCAGGGGGAUAAGCCGGAGAAAUCCGGUCUAAUACCGCGUAACAUCUUCUUGGGACAUCCCUUGAGGAUCAAAGGAAGCGAUUCCGGUCAAGGAUGGGCAUGCGUCGCAUUAGCUAGUUGGCGGGGUAAAGGCCCACCAAGGCGACGAUGCGUAGGGGUUCUGAGAGGAAGGUCCCCCACAUUGGUACUGAGACACGGUCCAGACUCCUACGGGAGGCAGCAGUGAGGAAUAUUGGUCAAUGGUCGGAAGACUGAACCAGCCAAGUAGCGUGAAGGAUGAAGGUUCUAUGGAUUGUAAACUUCUUUUAUACGGGAAUAAAACCUCCCACGUGUGGGAGCUUGUAUGUACCGUAUGAAUAAGCAUCGGCUAACUCCGUGCCAGCAGCCGCGGUAAUACGGAGGAUGCGAGCGUUAUCCGGAUUUAUUGGGUUUAAAGGGAGCGUAGACGGGAUGUUAAGUCAGUUGUGAAAGGCUGCGGCUCAACCGCAGCACUGCAGUUGAUACUGGCGUCCUUGAGUGCGGUUGAGGUAUGUGGAAUUCGUGGUGUAGCGGUGAAAUGCUUAGAUAUCACGAAGAACUCCGAUUGCGAAGGCAGCAUACUAAGCCGCUACUGACGUUGAGGCUCGAAAGUGUGGGUAUCAAACAGGAUUAGAUACCCUGGUAGUCCACACGGUAAACGAUGAAUACUCGCUGUUGGCGAUAUACAGUCAGCGGCCAAGCGAAAGCAUUAAGUAUUCCACCUGGGGAGUACGCCGGCAACGGUGAAACUCAAAGGAAUUGACGGGGGCCCGCACAAGCGGAGGAACAUGUGGUUUAAUUCGAUGAUACGCGAGGGACCUUACCCGGGCUUAAAUUGCACUGGACAGGCUCAGAGAUGGGCUCUUCUUCGGACCAGUGUGAAGGUGCUGCAUGGUUGUCGUCAGCUCGUGCCGUGAGGUGUCGGCUUAAGUGCCAUAACGAGCGCAACCCUUGCCAUUAGUUACUAACAGGUUAUGCUGAGGACUCUAGUGGGACUGCCAUCGUAAGAUGUGAGGAAGGUGGGGAUGACGUCAAAUCAGCACGGCCCUUACGUCCGGGGCUACACACGUGUUACAAUGGGAGGUACAGAAGGCUGCUACCCGGCGACGGGAUGCCAAUCCCCAAAACCUCUCUCAGUUCGGAUUGGAGUCUGCAACCCGACUCCAUGAAGCUGGAUUCGCUAGUAAUCGCGCAUCAGCCACGGCGCGGUGAAUACGUUCCCGGGCCUUGCACACACCGCCCGU